AUGAACCUCGGGGGGCAGCAGUGAGGAAUAUUGGUCAAUGGACGAGAGUCUGAACCAGCCAAGUAGCGUGAAGGAUGACUGCCCUAUGGGUUGUAAACUUCUUUUAUAUGGGAAUAAAACAGGGUAUGCAUACCCUCUUGUAUGUACCAUAUGAAUAAGGAUCGGCUAACUCCGUGCCAGCAGCCGCGGUAAUACGGAGGAUCCGUGCGUUAUCCGGAUUUAUUGGGUUUAAAGGGAGCGUAGGUGGAUUGUUAAGUCAGUUGUGAAAGUUUGCGGCUAAACCGUAAAAUU
rnacentral:rRNA from 1 species